GUGCUCGCUUUGGCAGCACAUAUACUAGGAAUGAUACAGAGAAGAUUAGCAUGGCCCCUGCACAAGGAUGAUACGCAAAUUCGUGAAGCAUUCCAUAUUUAA